GGGGGAUAACGUAGCGAAAGUUACGCUAAUACCGCAUAUUCUGUGAGCAGGAAAGCAGGGGAUCUUAGGACCUUGCGCUGAUUGAGCGGCCGAUAUCAGAUUAGCUAGUUGGUGAGGUAAAGGCUCACCAAGGCGACGAUCUGUAGCGGGUCUGAGAGGAUGAUCCGCCACACUGGAACUGAGACACGGUCCAGACUCCUACGGGAGGCAGCAGUGGGGAAUUUUGGACAAUGGGGGCAACCCUGAUCCAGCCAUGCCGCGUGAGUGAAGAAGGCCUUCGGGUUGUAAAGCUCUUUCAGCCGGGAAGAAAACGCAUGGGUUAAUACCCUGUGUGGAUGACGGUACCGGAAUAAGAAGCACCGGCUAACUACGUGCCAGCAGCCGCGGUAAUACGUAGGGUGCGAGCGUUAAUCGGAAAUACUGGGCGUAAAGCGUGCGCAGGCGGUUUUGUAAGACAGGCGUGAAAUCCCCGGGCUCAACCUGGGAACUGCGUUUGUGACUGCAAGGCUAGAGUAUGGCAGAGGGGGGUGGAAUUCCACGUGUAGCAGUGAAAUGCGUAGAGAUGUGGAGGAACACCGAUGGCGAAGGCAGCCCCCUGGGCCAAUACUGACGCUCAUGCACGAAAGCGUGGGUAGCAAACAGGAUUAGAUACCCUGGUAGUCCACGCCCUAAACGAUGUCAACUAGGUGUUGGGUGGGUAAAACCAUUUAGUACCGGAGCUAACGCGUGAAGUUGACCGCC
rnacentral:rRNA from 1 species